GSSGCSAUGGCCGCGGGGADUSUCGGAGGCAGCAGUGGGGGAAUCUUGCGCAAUAGGGCGAAACUGAACGCAGCGACGCCGCGUGCGGGAAGAAGGCCUUCGGGUUGUAAACCGCUUUCAGGGGGGACGAACCACUCGGGUGAACAGCCCAGAGGGUGACGGUACUCCCAGAAGAAGCCCCGGCUAACUACGUGCCAGCAGCCGCGGUAAUACGUAGGGGGCUAGCGUUGUCCGGAUUUAUUGGGCGUAAAGCGCGUGUAGGCGGUUAGACAGGUCCGACGUGAAAUCUCCAGGCUCAACCUGGAGCGGUCGUUGGAAACCGUCUGGCUAGAGUCCGGAAGAGGAGAGUGGAAUUCCUGGUGUAGCGGUGAAAUGCGCAGAUAUCAGGAAGAACACCGAUGGCGAAGGCAGCUCUCUGGGACGGUACUGACGCUGAGACGCGAAAGCGUGGGGAGCGAACAGGAUUAGAUACCCUGGUAGUCCACGCCGUAAACGAUGGGUGCUAGGUGUGGGCGGUGUCGACUCCGUCCGUGCCGAAGCUAACGCAUUAAGCACCCCGCCUGGGGAGUACGGCCGCAAGGCUAAAAACUCAAAUGAAUUGACGG
rnacentral:rRNA from 1 species